CCGGCGUCUCUCUGCCCUCCUCCUCUUUCAAGGGAAGAGCUGCGCUGGGAGAACGUUUUGCUCCAGAUGAGCAGAGUGAAGUUUUGAUGCUUCUAACAAAAGAGAAGUCCUUCCCACUCCCGUCACAAAGCUACACCUCUGCACUACGGACCACCUCAGGUGCCAGCCCAGUGCAAAAUGGAAAUGCAGGAAUUCUCGCAGUGAGAAUUCCAAGUGGCUGCGGCAGAGCAUUCAGCUGAGACCCUGCCUUCGGAGCAGUGGCUGGGUGCGUCCCAUGCUCUGAAGAGGCUGCCUAGAUCAAGGAGUUCCUUGCUUCUUGGCUGGCUGUUCAUAUCAGGUCGUGGAUGGAUUUCUUGGGUGUCACCGAAGUGUCUGCUGCCCGUCAGGUUGGAGGAGGAAAGCGUGAUCCGGUCUCCUAGCAACUCCUUGUUGGCCACAUCUAUCUUCCAUCAUUCCUCGGGUGCCUUUGUCCUUUCCCACGGCUGGGAGUCCAGACGGAGAAGAGGUAUCGGGGCAAGCGCGCACGUGUGGCUGGUCAGGCAUCUCCUGUUCUGCACCAGCUCAUGCCCAAGACCUUUUCUCCUCCCUUGGCCAUGCUGUGACAAGUGGCCAGGACUGGAUGGCCCACUUUGGGUCACAAAGCGCUGAGUGACUGUCUCAGGCAAGAGGAGGACCGGAAAUCCCUCCGGAAAACCAGCCCUUCUUGGCUGCUGUCUGUAGCUCUUCAAAGGAGCCCGAGGCCACAGGCUCUUGUUCUCCACACACCAGUGGCAGAAAUGUGCAUUUUCCCCAAAAUUUCCUUAUUUUACCCGUUUGUUCAAAUUUCCCAAGAAGAUGCUUUCUUCUGAUAUCUGCAGCUUUUCCACAGUUGAUUGGAAGGGAGCCGGACAGGGGCCCAUGCUAGUGAGCCCUCUCUCGGGGGCUGAGCACAUCCAUUAUUUACUUGAAAUUUGCUAAGUCGAUCUGUGUCCACUGUAUUUUCUUUCUAUGAUUUUUUAUUGUGAUAAAGUAUACAUAAUGCAAAGUUGACCAUUUUUACCAUUUUGAGAUCUGUAGCAUUAGGCACAUUUUUAUUUUUGUGCAAUCUCUCUAUGCAUUUAUGCUGUAUAUAUCUUGAGAAGAUUUCUUAAUAUGUCAAUCUCUUAACAUUGUCCAUAGUAAUCAUAUUUUUUAUCUUCCAAGACUUCUUGUAAAACUUUUAAAUCUUGUUCAACAGCUGUAUCAUCUUCUCAGACCCCUCUGAAUAAGAACUGGAGAUUCUUUCUUUAUAUAUAUAUUUCUUCACUGUGGAUUUUACUAUUUUCUCCUGUUCUGUUUAGUUUUCUUGGGGUGUCUCUUUCAUGAUUGUUGUCUUUGUUGUUUUAUGAUUUUUUUGUUUUUAUUUGUUAAAAUGGAGAACUGAAUAUUAAAAAAUCAAAUUAACUUUUUGAAAAAGAUAAGAAAAAGAAGAAAAAAGUAAUAGACAUUUCAAGUUGAAAUAGAAAAUAAAUAAUCAUAUGUAUGAUGGUGCAAAUAAUACCAAGACUUUCAAUAAUUAUAUUAAAUGUAAGUGGACUAAAUAAUCCAAACAAAAGUCCAAAAUUUUUUAUUAGACUUGAAAAAUAGCUGUUUUCAUUAGAAAGUUUAUAUUGUAAAUAUGAGGGUAGAAAGUAGUUAGAUUGAAAACAUUAACAACAUUGACCUAUAGGUAAGAAAUAUUCCAAAUCUGAAUAGCACAGAUUAUUUUUCUGUAGAUGAAGUAACAAUGGCCUUACGUAGUUCUGGAAAUACCAGUAUUGGCAAAGAGAACUGAAGCACACAGAAAAGAGAUUAAUCAGUUUUUCUUCUCUGUACAGUUGUAGGCAAUUAAAGUUUUGAUGGCUUAACCAACCCUCAUACCUAGUAUUUUACUGAUAUACAAAAGUUUUGAGGUGCAAAUGUAGACUUCUACCAACUUUUACUUUCAAGGAAGUAACUCCCAAC
ensembl:lincRNA